AAAAGUGAAGGGAACGGGAAAUCCCUCCUCUUUUUCUCUUUUUUUUUCUCUUUUUUUCACUUUUUAUCGGAGAGAAGAGUUUUUAUUAUCUGUUUAAGCUUCAACAGCAGCGACAGAAGAACAGAAACAACUGACUCUUUUAUCAUAAACUACUAAAAUACUACUACUACUACUACUACUACUACUACUACUACUACUACUACUAGGUUAAUUACCUUUGCCAAUUCAACAAAGAUACCAGCGAUUUUUCCCAGUUUUAUACAAGAAAUUACUAAAUCAGGUCUAAACCAGGACAGAAUCAGGUCUAAACCGGGUCUAAACUGGGACUAAACCAGGUCUAAAUUAGGUCUAAACCAGGACUAAACUAGGACUAAACCAGGACUAAACCAGGUUUAAAUUAGGUCUAAACCAGGACUAAAUCAGGUCUAAACCAGGACUAAACCAGAUGUCCCAGUUUUUGUCAGUCUGAUUUCUGCCAGCAGUACACUGUAAACCCAAAUUUUCUUUUACAUAUUAAGCCAUGCUAAUAUUACUAAUCUUUUUAAUAUUUUGCAAAAGGCGGGACCAUUACUAAACAAAGUGUGAAUUGUAAACUAUUUUAAACUAGUAUUUGCUGUACUCAUGGCUCUGAGUGGAGACGCUCACACUUGUAUGUUUUUACCGGUGAAGGGAGGUGCUUAGCACCUGAACAAUCCCAAACUGCACCAAACCACAUCUGACUUCUGCUCGGACUGUUGGCUUCAAUUCAGCGUCAGUCUGCUUUAUCAUCAUAUGGUGACUACCCAACAGGCUGUGGAGCUGUAAAUACUAUUUGUCUGGAAUUCAAAAGGAUUGUGGGAAAAGACCUGCACCAGGAAUUUUAUUCUGCCCUUGAUAACCACACUACCCAUUUUAUUGAAAGUUUUAAAGCUAAGAGGGGCAGCGUGGGUGACAGUUGGCACAGCUUUUGCAGCAAAUACAGUCACUGGAUUCUACUGAAAAAAGGACAGUCACACUAAGAGGUCUUCCUUACUUACUCGGAGACAGUCCCACCGAAUUCUUCAAAUCUAGCUUUGAUGGUGAUGAAUCCUUUCGCCAAAUGGACAUUUGGAUCUUGUUAGUAAAUCUGAAGGUGUCUCUCUUCCAACACCAGAUCUUCACCCAGCAAGCCUGAAAAUCAUCAUUGAGGGUGAAAUUGUUAUGGACAAGCUGACAACCCUUAUAACCCCUUGUUUGAAUUGUGAAAUGUAAAACACAAAAGCAAAUGCUGUUACAGGGAACAAACAGAAGACUGCACUUUAUUCAGGUUUAAGCAUGUUAUUAUUGCACUAUUUUUGCAAUAAAUUUGUGAGAAAAAAAUUGUCA